UACGUAGGAUGCAAGCGUUGUCCGGAAUUAUUGGGCGUAAAGAGCGAGCAGGCGGCAUAUCAAGUUGGACGUGAAAUUUUAGGGCUUAACCCUAAAGGGUCGUCCAAAACUGGUAGCUAGAGUGCAGGAGAGGAAAGCGGAAUUCCCGGUGUAGUGGUGAAAUGCGUAGAUAUCGGGAGGAACACCAGAGGCGAAGGCGGCUUUCUGGCCUGUAACUGACGCUGAGGCGGCGAAGGCUGGGGGUA
rnacentral:rRNA from 1 species